AGAGAACGAAGAAGAGAUGGGCUGAAGUGAUCUCGUAUGACCGCACAAGUUGCAAUCUCCGUUGGCAUUGUGCGUUAUACUAUGUAUACGUAGCGUUUGGAGCACCGCCACGUUGUUGAUGGAUGGUAUACAUAACAGGACUCAUACAGGAGGAAUGGCACAUGACUAUCUCGUUAGGAUUCAAAUGAAAUAUGAGCGCAACCGCGCGCGCAUACACAUGCAUAUACGCCUUUGCGAGCAUUCUCCCGCGAUGGGUAAGUGCAUGCAUUCAUAUACACAUAUGCAAUGAGUCACAACAGUGUUUACACUCAUCUAGCUGGUUGAUUUCAAACGACUGAUAUCCUCGUCGAGAAAACAAAAUUGUUAUAAAUAUAUCAUUAAGAUUUCUAUACUAAUAAUAUAAGAUUUCCAUUGAUAUAAACUUUAAACAUUCACGAAAUUGACCCAAACUGACUGAUAAAGACGUAAAUUAUAAAUUUAUUAAUUAAAUAUAUUAUGUAACAAAACUUUUAAAUAUUAGUGUCUUUUAAUUUUUAAUAUUUAAACAAUUUUUUUCAACUAAUUUAUGAUUACUCAUAAAUAAAAGUCUCAGUUUAUGAUUACUUAAAUAAAAAUAAAAGCAUUUACGUCAAAAAGUCACGCGAAUACUUACGGAUUAAUAACGAACCAAUUAAGUUUUAUAGCAGUAAUGAUAUCACUAAAGGACGAAUGUACAUGAGGUUAUUUUCUAAAAAGUAUUAUCAAAUCUAAAAAAAUUAUUUUAGUAUUAUAAUUAUAAUAGAUAUGCAUACCUAAUUACAAGAAUUAUGAAUACUUUUGUGAUAUCGACUGUGUCCAGUAUUUUACUUCAUUUCUUAUUUUUGUCAAAUCACUAUAUUAAAAUUUAUGAUUCAAAAAUUUAAAAUUAAUAUAGCAUAUACUUUUCUUAGUAAAAAUUAAAACUUCAGAAAUUGAUCGUUUGAAGCUAAUUGUCAGCGUAUAAAUAUUCUUAUGAUCCAUAUUGUAUAUAUGAAUCAUCUGAUCUGAGUUUGAUCUGAGGGCAUCACCAUAUAUAGAUGGAAUGCACACUCGAGUAUUCUGGUCGCGCAUUCAAUGACAGGAUCGGAAUUUCAAUAGAAAAAAAUUGAGAAAUAAUUUAAUCUACUGAUAUUAGUGCAUUCGUGCGAUAAUAAUGCCGUUUGAAUACCGAUUGCAUAAAAAAUAAUUGAUCUAAUUAUAUAAUAAUAUUAAUUUACUUGCGUUAUGCAUAAUUGAAAUAUAAAUAAUUUUGCAUUACUGUCACAAACUAUUUUCCUAAAUAGGAUAAUAAAUAGCUACAAUAAAUAAAUAUCAACUGUUAUAAAAGUUUAAUUUUGAACGUAAUAACUGAAUCCUUUUAAGCAAAUUAAUAUUUUACUAUGUUGUAAAUUGCUAUUGAAUCACAUAAUCAACAUAAUGGUAUUACGUGUCUUCGCUUAUGUAAAAGUUGUCUAUAUGUAUCAAUUUAUUUUUCAAGUAGGACAUAAAAAUUCUGUAUUCUUAGUAGCCGCUACUCAUAUGAGAAGAAUGGUAUUAUCAUUAAAACGAGUUUCGGUCAUUUGGUCGGGUGACUAAACGAUAACGGAAAGGCUAAAAAUAAACAGUUAAUUUAUCUUAACGUACACCCUUUCCUUGCGCAGGAUUCAAAAGGAUGUGACCGUGGCACACGCAAUCAACCACCACUUGUGCCACGAGCUGACAUGUAUGUACAUACGUCGUUUUACACGUGAGCGAAGAUGAUGAAAGAAAGGAUAUGCUUCUAACAAGGAGUACUUCACUGAGGGGAGCAUGAAUUCUCAACGAAGAGGGCUGCGGUUAAUUCAACCAAGGGUGAAUCUAAUUAAGCACAUGUACAUUUGGUCGCGUGGGAGCGCGCCUUAAAAAUAUUUUAUUUCAACGUCUCAACAAGCGAGAACACACAUUGAAAGAUUAUGACUGAUUUGCAGGUCAAGAAAGGAGCCUCGGACCAAUAAGCGCGGAAGAAGAACAAACGUGCACUCGCGCGAAAAUUCGAUCGCCCGCUUUCUUUUACCGGACAGAAACCGUUGUCGCUAGCGACGAGGUAGCGCGACUAGUUCGUAUCUCCUUGUUACCGUUGCUACUGUCGGCCUCCUCGAAGGAUUUUCUUCGACAGUGACGGCUACGAGUGUUGACAAGAUCGCCGGCAGCCAUGCGAGGAUCGAUCUCAUCGGCGAGGUUCGAUUAGUCACUGGCGACAGGGUGAUGCCGGACAAUGGUAAGCCGACAAUAACAACAAUGACGCGAGAGGAGGAAGGCGGAUCGUCGUCGUCUUGCACCGGCACUUUGACACGCACGCACAUAUGCAUCCAGACACCACCGACACAUCGCGCAAGACGUCUCGUUUAUUCGCCGGCUGCUGCCUCCUGACAGCGCGGUAGGCCGGGUUGUUUAGGCUAUAGGGUUGUCGCACACCGUAAAAUUCUUUCUAGUCAACUUCGAAGCGACGAAGACCCGUAGGAUGUAGUCUGACAAACGGCGAACGAUAAGCGAGAUCGCGCGGAAGGCGAUCUCUGGGAAAGCGUGCCGACGAGGAAGGCGAAGAGGAAAGGAAAAAGAGGAGAGGAGGCGCGUAAGACGGGGUAGGAGAGCGAGAGUCGUGGAAGGAGCGCGUGUGUGCGCUCGCGCUCGCACUCAGGGCUCGCGGGCCGAGAGGAUCUUCGAGAGAGAGAGAGAGAGAGAGCCGCGAGAACGAUCGAGAGCGAAACGCGCGGCAACUGGAGGACCCGACCUGACCCGAGAGGAGGGAACACCGACGAUCGUCGGCGACGGAGGCGCUGCUGCUUUCCCGUCUGCCUGUGCUUGCCCGCCCGCCGCUCGCACCGCACCGCACCGCACCGCACCGCACCCGCCACGUUUCUCCGCGACCGGCGCCGCCUGACGACGGCGUCGCGACGCCGUUUCCCGUGGCGCCGUCAUGCGGUCGGCGCGCCUCGUCGAUGCGCGUCGUCUGUGCGCGACUGGAGGUGCACCGGCGCAUGUCGACGCGCUGACGACGUAUAAAUGCCUACAUGUAUGCAUGUGCGCUCCUUCCGUCCACGUGUGCGUGCGCGAGGCGCGACGCGUGCUGCGUGCUGCGUGCUGCCAGCCGAUCGUCGCGUGCGAUCGUCGCGUCGAGGUCUCCGUGAGACCCAUAAUUUCUCAGUCAUUCGUUGAAUUAACCCCCCUCGCGAAAAGUGAUUUUCCUUCGCGUUCGACCUGCGUGCUCUUCUCUCCUCUUCUUUUUUUACUCGGAUUUCUAAAUGGGUAGAGAAUAUUAUUUGCGCGAAACUAAUUUACCUCAAUGUCACGUAUUCGUAUAAUCGACCGGUAAAUUGCAGGAAGCGAAAUAUCGAAUGUUUUUUUGUAAGAUAAUAUUUCGUCAGAAGUUAUUGUUUCCAUCUAACUUUUGUUAGUUUACUUAAGCAGCCGUUGAAACGUUGCGCACAUUUGUGUGUUUACGUGCUUAAGAGAAUUAUGAGAUUAAACUACUGUGUAAGGUCAUUUAAUGAAGCCUUUUGUAGUUACAAGGACAAUUUGUCUCACGGAUAUCGGAAAUCGUUAAUGACGUGAUGUAUAUCUAUCGAUUUUAUAAUUUAGACAAGUCUUGAUCUACCUGUUAAAUUGUCACGGAAUCACCCCUAAAAAUUUUACUUGAAACCUGAACGGUUUUUGAUUUUUGAGACACUUAUUUCCGUAAAAAUUAAUCAUUCGUGUGACACCUCAAUUAUCAUCAUUUCUCGGCCUAUUUAUUAACUUUGCAACAAGAUUUAUCUCUAAAAAUUAAGUACUGAAUAGUUUUUAAGACAAUUAUUUCUAGUAAGAAUUAUUCAUUUGUGAUUCAUGAAAUCUUAAUUAUCGUAACUUCUCGAUCUAUAUUUAUUCAUUUUGCCAUCAAUCUCUAAAAAAUAUACUUAAAACUUAAAUAGUUUUCAUAAUUUUGAAGACAAUUAUUUUCAGUAAAAAUUUAUAUAAAACAAUUAUAAUUUUUUUUAUUUACUUGUUAAUCAUGGAAUUUAGCUCUAAAAACUAAAUAUAUUUAAAACGUACAGUUUAAUUUUUUCAGACAAUUAUAAUCAAUAAGAAUGAAUCACUUUUAUAAAAUCUUAAUUAUAAGUUAUAUUUGAAAUGACGUUAAUGUCGUGAUAUAUAUCCAUUUUAUAAAAUCUCUUAUUUCAUCUCCGUUGCUUAUAAUUCAAAUCUUUCUUCAAAUAAUAAAUAUUGUUGCGUUAUGUCUUAAACGGGAAGCUCGCGUUUCUCCGGUAGAAUUUAUAUGAUUCUCGGAAUUUAUGAUUUUAGCGUAGUCAGUUAUUUAGGUGAAUGAUAUUGUUCUUCUUCCUUUCCUUUCUUUGAUGAAUGGCCGCAAUCGGAGACAAUAUGGCCAACAACAAAUGAGAGUAUAGAAUGAGAGAUACAAUGUCCACAUAGACUCAGCCUUGAACCGAAACACCGGUGGCAAAAGGAACAAGGGACUCUCCCAAAAAUAUGGUUUGCCGAUUAUAGCAUUCAAAUGCUUGAGGAGAACUAUGUAACAUACUACCACGACGCUCAUGCUAAAUCCAACUCUAUGCGCGACCGCAAGAAGUGUAAGAAGAGAGAACAAACAGUCACAUUGAAAUGAAUCCACAAUGAUUAUUAAAAGUCACUUUUCGAUCAAUCACGAUUCACUUUAUUAUCUGAAUCAUAAUCGUGAUCUAUUGUCUACUCGAUCUAUUGAUUCUAUUUGAAAAUCCAGGGAACGAUAAAAGACGGCUUUCUCAUACUCACGAUUACGCUCCAGCCGUCGGACACGUGUAGAGUAUUCUUUUCACACUAAUAAAACGUGUUCGAUCAGACGGCUGAUGUCGAAUAUCUCACACCAAUGAGCGAUAAAUCAAGGCAAAAAUUGCGUUAUUCAAUCAAGAUCGCGAUGGAGAUUUUAAUAUAACGUGGCAAAUUUAGUGCAGCUGAUAUCGUGAGACGCCGUAAAACGUUUUCAUUCACGAAACUGCUCUAUUUAUGCAAUUCUCACAUUAUUUAAUUUGAAGAAACUUGAAUGAAAGAUCGUUGCAGCUGCGAUACGUGUAUCGAUCGAUUUAGCAGCUUAAAAUCGAAGCAGCUAGUUUAUUAUCGGCGGUCACGCAGAUCGACGUAACUAGACAAGAUUUCGAUAAGACUUCGAUAAACGUGAAUGAAUCUGUUUUUAGAUGUGCUAAUGUAUACAUUUUACUAUCUGCAUUCGUCUCUGUGUUUGUAUUAUAAUCUAUUUACUAUAUAAUCUAUCUUUUUUUCUCUCUAUUUUUGUACUUUUGAAAAAUAGCACGUGGAUAUCUAAGACGGCAAAUUAUCUGAAAAAAAUUAUUUUUUCAAUUAUAAAAUUUUAUCAUUUAUUACUUUUUUUAAAAGUUUUAUCAUAUAAAAUAAGAUUGUACAACUUACAACAACAGUGUUUAAAUGGAUAUUCAAUUCAACUAGCGUAAUAAAAAGAUAAAUAUAUCUUUUAUCUGUUAAUUCGAACAA